rnacentral:lncRNA from 1 species
AUUUUUUUUAUAAUGAAGUGUUCCACGUGCGUUAAAAAGUGCCCUUUUUCCCCCCUGAGCUCUUGCCCCACAAAAUGUCUGUGCAAGCCACUGGCGCUCGGAGCUGAAGCUAGCGUUAUGGGAUGUAAACAGUGGCUUUUUAAUGAACUUCUUGUGCAGUUUUAAGGUUCUAAAUGCUUUGUUUUAAAUUUCAGGGCUCUCUGGAUAAAGAUGUAAAAAGCGAUUUAUCUGCAGGGGCAAAAUAUGCCCGUCUCACUCAUUCUAAAAGCCUGUUUGGGGAAAGUGCUCAAAAUACUGGAUCUCAGAAAGCUGCGGGAGAACAGAGGAUUAGUAGGUCUGUCACAGAAGGUAAAACCAUGCUGGAACCAGGCUGGACUUUGGCCCUCAUAGCCCACUCAUUGCUUAGAAGCUCACAAAGACUCUUACUCUACCAGCCAGAGGGAAUGGGGACAUAAGUCGAUUAUUACUGCUUGCCCGAGUCGACGUGGGGCCCCUGAACCUGGUGAAUUGACAGGCUUCAGCUCUUCAGAGGUGGGUUGGUUUGCGAAGGCCUGCUCAUUACUCAAUAGCCUCUCAAUAAAGCCCACAACCACUUCUGCUCCA